GAUGAACGCUGGCGGCGUGCCUAAUACAUGCGAGUCGAGCGAACGGACGAGAAGCUUGCUUCUCUGAUGUUAGCGGCGGACGGGUGAGUAACACGUGGAUAACCUACCUAUCAGACUGGGAUCACUUCGGGAAACCGGAGCUAAUCCCGGAUAAUAUUUUGAACCGCGUGGUUCAAAAGUGAAAGACGGUCUUGCUGUCACUUAUAGAUGGAUCCGCGCUGCAUUAGCUAGUUGGUAAGGUAAAGGCUUACCAAGGCAACGAUGCAUAGCCGACCUGAGAGGGGGAUAGCCCACACUGGAACGGAGACACGGUCCAGACUACUACGGGAGGCAGCAGUAGGGAAUCUGCCGCAAUGGGCGAAAGCCUGACGGAGCAACGCCGCGUGAGUGAUGAAGGUCUUCGGAGCGUAAAACUCGGUUAUGAGGGAAGAACAUAUGUGUAAGUAGCUGUGCACAUCUUGACGGUACCGAAUCAGAAAGCCACGGCUAACUACGUG
rnacentral:rRNA from 1 species